UACGUAGGGUGCGAGCGUUAAUCGGAAUUACUGGGCGUAAAGCGUGCGCAGGCGGUUCGUUGUGUCGGCGGUGAAAGCCCCCGGGCUUUAACCUGGGAAUGGCCGUUGAAACUGGCGAACUGGAGUGUGGCAGAGGGGGGGUGGAAUUCCGCGUGUAGCAGUGAAAAUGCGUAGAGAUGCGGAGGAACACCGAUGGCGAAGGCAGCCCCCCUGGGGCUAACACUGACGCUCAGGCACGAAAAGCGUGGGGGAGCAAACAGG
rnacentral:rRNA from 1 species